rnacentral:ncRNA from 1 species
CCCACCGAGUCUAAGCAUAUAAUUAAGUGGAGGAAAAGAAACUUACAAGGAUUCCUCUAGUAACAACGAGCAAACCAGGAAAAGCCUAGCAUGAAAAUUGGGUGGCAACGCCACCUAAAUUGUAGUAUGUAUAAGCGUCCUUAGCAGUAGACCAGGGCCAAGUCCCUUGGAAGGGGGCGUCUGAGAGGGUGACAUCCCUGUCAGGAUGGGACCCUGCCACACCACGAGGCGUUGUCGGUGAGUUGGGUUGUUUGGGAAUGCAGCCCUAAUCGGGUGGUUGAUUCUGUCUAAGGCUAAAUACGAGCGAGAGAUCGAUAUCAAACAAGUACCGCAAGGGAAAGAUGAAAAGGACUUUGAAAAUAGAGUUAAAGAGUGAUUGAAAUUGUUGGGAGGGAAACAAAUGGAGGCUGGAGAUGUGUGUCAGUCGGAUGCAGAACAAAUCAAGAUGGUCCACCACUCGACUAGAUGUGAAAGCCAACACAUGCCAUUGCAUUUGCACAAGUGCGGGUGGAGUACUACCUAUUGGUUUUCCAUUGUGGCAGUCGAGGAGAGGAGAAAUCAAGGGAUUCCACCAACACUCAUUUAAAUUUAUUUUUAAUCACUUGCCAAUACUUCUUUUAGUUUGUUGAUAUUGAGCUCACACAUGAGGUAGUUUGGAUCCCUU